AAAAAAAAAAAGAAGAUUGGCAACAGUUGUUAGCUCAGGUGCCAAUCUUUAGAAAAAAAACAAUUUUAGGGGAAUUGGAAUGUUUGAACAGGCUUUACAGAAAGUGGUUGUGUCUCUUUUAUCUGACUGAAUUAUGAGGAUGGACAUUGUGUCUGACUGGGCAACGUUUCUCCUACCGGGUAUUGUAAAACAGAAGGCGAGCAAAUCCACCCUUCAAGCAAUAUUCACUGGACAUGUUAAAUGGGAACCAGUCAGAUUGCUGGAGCCCCGCAGUCAGAACAGAAGCUGGAGGGUGCUGGGGACGUAGUCUCUGUGCAAUGGCCCUGUGUGGAGUGUAGACUGCAGCUUACGGCAAGACCCUGUGAGCGCCUCCCGGCGAUGACUACUGGGGCUUGGGAUAAGAGACUCCAUUUCAGGGGCAUUUACUAGCUUGCUAUUGGGCAUUAAUUGCAACUGCCACUAUGGCUAAAGGACAAAAAGUAAUCUUGAGACCUGAAAUACCCAUGAUGUCUUGGGUGGUGUCAGAGAAACACUAACGGGGAUCGCAGUGCCCAGAAGUGUUCCAUCAUAAAACAGAAAUGAUUUACGCAGCACCAUGCUGCCUGGACAAUGCGAGGAGGACAUCCUUGUGGGCAGGGAGCCUCUCGUCCCCUAGGAUGACUCUGAACCGCGUCAGGAUUCCAUCGUCACUUGUACGGUGCCCUAUAAACAGCUCUAGACUGACCGGCCAAGAACUGCUUGGUGCGUGACUGGCAGUUCCAAGGUGAACGGUCACAUCCCGUUUGAAAGGCCUCCACUCUGAUGGAAGAAGUGGUCACAGGAGCAGGGCUGCAACUGCACGUGCUGGAAGCAGGGAUGAUGCCUAAACAAGAAACUGUAACUGCGUUUUUAAACCUUCUGUCAGAAUCCCUGAGGGCCAGAUGGGGUGGUUGUGCCUUCACCCCAUCGGGCUAAACUGGGGUUAACCGUGAAUGAGGCCAUAUUGCCUGGUAGUAAAAAUGCCCCGCUCGUUCUGCGCCUGUGUAACUUUACCCCAUGUGACGGGAGUGGACUGUGGGGGAGGGACUUGCUGGACCAGUAUCGCUGCCUGCAACCCGGACCAGCAGCGUGGCCGAAACUACAUCCCUUCCAAAGGUGGAAAAGUAUGCCAGCCUGACCCCAUCUUGCCUUGGUUCUUUUUGGCCCCACGUAGAACAUUUGAACAAACAUAUUGCUCACUUUUGAGCCUCUGACACCCUCAGCAGGAAUGACCCCAUUGACUUCUACCUUCGUUUCGACAGACUCUCUUCUUAAACUUUAGUUAGGUCCCUCAGCGUUGGCCUAUAAGAACUGCAAUUCUCCACACAAACGAUUUUGUCCACCCGUCA